CAGCACUGCUCGGAUCAUUAUCAGUGGCUGUCCACCCGGGGUGAUUCCUCCCAUCCAGGGUGCAUCUGACAGUAUCUGGAGGACAGAGUUGUGAAGACUACUGGUCAAGUAUUUUGUAAACAUCUUUCAGUUGUUGAGCUUAUCUGAUCUUUUUCUCAUGACUGUGAUGGACUUAUGGGAGGAAUAUGACAGACGCAUAGUGCCCUUCACCUUGCAUUCUGUCACAGACACACGAUACCAACAUGCAGUAUUACUGUUUUUCAAGAAAGAAGAGGAGAAGCACUGGCUUUCCAAAUUGUGAGAGAAGAGUCUCAUUUGCAUGGUCUGUGAGGUUGGCAUCUACGUUCUAACAUUAGAGGAGUUCGCUGGAUUAUGAUGUAACUUGCUUGCAUCUCUUGCCCAUCCCAGCUUCCUGGUUGCCACUGAUUGAGCAGCUUUCUCCAGCCAGCACCCUUCCCAUGCCAUUUCUGCUUUACAGCCAGCCAACCAUGCAAGUGCUGAGCCCUCAGAACCUUGAGCCCAAAACCCCUCUCUUCCUUUACAUUGCAAGUAUUAGAGUAUUUUGUUCCAGCAGUGGGAAAGUGACUAAUACAGUGACACAUCACAUGCAUUCCACUUAAGUGUGUGGCUCAAAGAAUUUUUUACAAAGAAAAUAUUCUUAUGUAAUCACCUUCUCAAUUACAGUUUCCGAGAACGUUACCCAGCAUCUAAGAACAAUUCUUACAUCCAUACAUUCACCCACAUGGUUUAAUCUGGCCAGUUCGAUAUUUAUGUAAAUGGGGUCACAAAGAGUCCACACUUCUCUAGAGGCUCCUUUACUACCACCGUGUCUCAUGGAUUUAUCAUGUUGUUUCAUGUGGCAAUGACUUGUGUUCUGCUGUAAGAAUACUUGACAGGCUGAGGACU